GCCUACGGGAGGCAGCAGUGAGGAAUAUUGCGCAAUGCCCGAAAGGGUGACGCAGCGACGCCGCGUGAAGGAUGAAGGCCCUCUGGGUUGUAAACUUCUGUAGAGUGGGAAGAAUAUCCGCCUCGGGCGGAUUGACGGUACCAGCUAACGUAAGGGGUU
rnacentral:rRNA from 1 species